CGCCUCGGCCAGCUGCUCUUUUGCCUUUUCUGAAGGUUCCUGGAGACUGUUGGAGUCUUUUCUCCAGUGCUUCUUCGACUGGAGGCUGCCAGGAUGGAAAAGCGGCUAGGCCUCAUCAUUGCACACUGACAACACAGACUUGUUGCGUGACCUUGGGAGCCGGGCAGAUGGUUCCGACGUGUCCGUUACCCUCCUGCUCCCUGUGUUCCCAAAGAAGAGUGAAUGGUGUUAGGGCAGUGUGUCCCCCCGUGGGGUUAAAGCGAGAUUCAUCCAGUCCCAGCUGUGUGGGACACUGUCUUCUAAAGCGGGAGCCAUUGGUACUGAAAGGCGUUUUAUUGGGUCAUCACUUAAAACUCGUUUGGCCUGGGGGUAUCCAGAGGAAGAGGACCACAAUGUUAACCCUACAAACCCUCUGGGGCUGUGAGACCCCCUGCACCGCUGCUCCCAAACCUCAGGGGCUAGAUGCCUAAGGCAGGAACUUUCAGCUUUGCUACCCACCGAGGGGUUCUGCAGUGCAGGAGUUUAAGCACUGCUUGGGUCAAUCAUCAGAUCUCAGCAAAAAUUCCUCUUCAGUCACUUAUAACCUUGAGCAAGCCACUUCAGUUCUCUGGGCCCUCUCUGUUCCCUGCGAACAAAUCCACCCCCACUCUCACAGCGAGGCCUUCAGAAGGCCCCAAAACGUCCUGGACCCCGCCCCGCAUCUCAUUCAGGGGUCUCAAACCCAAGGCCUACGGGGCAAAUUCAGGCUGCCUUCAGUUCUGCCUAGCACUGACAGGCAGUGUUUUAAAAUGUGUGUGGGUCAUGUACUCACUCCCCUGGCUGCAGGCUCCACUCCUCCUGAUUUACUCCUCCUUCCCCCAAUUCCACAUUUCCUGUAGCUGCCUGGAGCCAGUAGGAAUCUGAGUUUGCAAUUCCAAGGAAGAAUCUCAAAGCUGUCCACUUCCGGUUGUGUGUGACAGAAAAUGCAGAGAAACCCAGAGGUCCGGUCAAGGGGAAUCACCCAAGUGCCUCUCACUCCCUGGGCCUCAGUCUACCCACUACAGUAUCUGCAGUGUUAGGCAUGUAAGAAGCUCUUAGCAUGAAUGAAGUCUGCUCCAAUCUUUACUGCCUAAUAGUUAACUAGCUGGGGUUGAGGAGGCCGGUGCCUCCUCUGCUGCUAAAUUUGAGCAAUCUGCCUUUAAAAGAAAAGCUUGACUCGUGGGAGAAGCCACUGCCUGGAUUAUAAAUGCCAGCUCUGGAGGAGGAGGCGCCUGUGAAAACAAGGCCAGGGCUGCAGAACCUGGUGGACUGCCAAACAUAAACUUGGGGCACCAGCCUCGCAGGGAUGCAUAACACCCACAAAUUUAAAACAAAAUUGGGGAAAUCAUUAUGGGGUGAAGUGGAAGUUUGCUGGACUUUCUUGGGGUUAUUUGACCCAUUGUAAUUUGUGUUUAAGUGAGGGGUUCAUGUAUUUUCCAAGCUUAGAGAGCCCAAAAUUGUGAUGGGCUGAGGACAGCCCCAUCUUUGCUUUUUCCCAGUAGGGGACGCUGUGGAGCAGCAGGUGCAACCGUACAGGCGGGGAAAUUUACCCGGGUGGCUGCAGAAGCACUGCGACCGCGUGUCCCACCGCGCCAGGAGGCCUCCCUGUCGCGCUGCCCGCGCUGCACCAACCCCCGCACCGCAAGCCCUGGUGUUCUCGGACCCCCUGGAACAGGCGCCUUUGUGACCCGGACAGAUGGGGCGUUCUCCCCUGGAACGCACUGGGAGGGGCACAAGGCUCUUAGGUGGGGAUCGUAAAACAGCUGGUGAUUGGAAAGGUGUUUUUCUUGCUCUGUGUGUGUGUGUGUGGGGGGGGUGAUCACAUACUUCUCAGCAACCUCAAACUAGCUCGACCCUCAUGGCACUAACUUCUUGACUCAGUGGACGCUCAGCUUCCCUGACCCUUCGAAUCACACCGCCUUUUCAGUUGUCAUUCACAGGCAUCUCCACUCACCAUCUCCUGACCCCGCCCCCUCUCACACCCGCGCCCACCUGCCAGGUGUACUUUACCUGCUCUAGCUCAAAGAAACCCAAUUCUUUUUGCUCUGCAAAAAAAAAAAAAAAAAAAGAGAGAGAGAGAGAGAGAAAGCGGGGGUGAGAAGAGAAAUAAGAGCACUUCACCAGCGCAGGGGAAUUUGCCCACCGGUUUUCCUCAGGGGCACCCCCACCGCCCCGCUCUGCUCUCUGUGAGCAGGAAAUGGGGAACCUCAGUCUGAACCAAGGCACUUCUGACUCCCGGCCUGAGUUUGGUAGUUUAAAGAUAAACAUUUUUUUUUAAUACAAAGGGCCCUGGAAUAUUAUACAAGCCAACCGCUUCCUCUGGGGCUAAACUCAAGAAGCCGCCACACUGCUGGAGGGAAAUGGUUGGUUUCCUAGGGUAAUUAUGAUUUCGUGUGACUUCCACCCUGCCUCCCAGCCCCUUGAGGGAACUGUAGUUCACUCAUACGAAGAUCUGCAUUCUCUUACCCCUAAACCCUCGGAACAAAUGUGUCUUGGAACAGCCACGAGUUUGGGUUUCAGGAAGGAAACGUGGUACAGGGGAAGCCUGUGGCCGCCAGUGUUGCUGGCAGCCAUGUUAUGACCAUGAAGGAUGUUAAUGUGAAAGUAUAUUUAUUACCUAUGGGGUUUGGGCAACUUGUCAAAAAUCAAACACAUUAACAUUUCUGCAAGGACAUAUAUACCAAUUAAUGCCAACAGAAUAAAUAAAGAUUAUGAGCAGCCUCACUGCAGGCCUUGACGACUCACACAAAGUUGUCGGCAACAGUUCCCAAUCUGAGGUGUGGAAAUGGAGGCUCUUCCUUCAGGUUUGGAAACCCAGGGAGUCACUGAUAUGGGAAACUUUGAAGAACCUCUGUUUAACCUUUAUUUGCCCAGGCCCCAGGUGCCCUAGGGAGAAUGAUGGGGCUGUCCAGGAUAAGUAAACAACAGUGCAUUAGCUAGGACUGAGAUUAACACCCCUGCUGUUAAAAACUGACCUUCGAAUUUAGCCUUUGUCCUCUGCUUCUGCCCCAUAGUUAGAACUAACUUCCGCAUUCCGCUUCUGAAUCCCGCUUUGCUACGUAGACAAGAAGACCCUGUAAACUAUAAAAACCCCAAGAAUCCUUUGUUCGGGGCUCAGAAUUUGGAUACUGACUCCUCUGGGCCCGUGCACGUUAAUAAAACCUCGU